GCUCAUUUGCACACAUAUUUGCUUACCAAUUGCGAAGACAUUCUACAAUAUGAGAGGAUUUAUAUGGCAGAGAUGCGGUUCACUUACAGACACGCAACAAAAGAGGAGCUUGAACAACUCAAGCCGAAAGAAUUUGCUGGAUGGCUUCUUAAUUAUGUGACGGAAGGUGUGGCUAGAGGUG